rnacentral:rRNA from 1 species
GGUGCCUACGGGAGGCAGCAGUGGGGAAUAUUGCACAAUGGGGGGAACCCUGAUGCAGCGACGCCGCGUGAGCGAUGAAGUAUUUCGGUAUGUAAAGCUCUAUCAGCAGGGAAGAAAAUGACGGUACCUGACUAAGAAGCCCCGGCUAACUACGUGCCAGCAGCCGCGGUAAUACGUAGGGGGCAAGCGUUGUUCGGAAUAACUGGGCGUAAAGGAUGCGUAGGCGGUUAAACAAGUUAUAUGUUAAAUAUAUAGGCUUAACCUGUAGAAAGCAUAUAAAACUGUUUAACUAGAGUGCAGAAGAG